rnacentral:rRNA from 1 species
AGUGAACGCUGGCGGUAGGCCUAACACAUGCAAGUCGAACGGCAGCACAGGAGAGCUUGCUCUCUGGGUGGCGAGUGGCGGACGGGUGAGGAAUACAUCGGAAUCUACUCUGUCGUGGGGGAUAACGUAGGGAAACUUACGCUAAUACCGCAUACGACCUACGGGUGAAAGCAGGGGAUCUUCGGACCUUGCGCGAUUGAAUGAGCCGCUGUCGGAUUAGCUAGUUGGCGGGGAAAAGGCCCACCAAGGCGACGAUCCGUAGCUGGUCUGAGAGGAUGAUCAGCCACACUGGAACUGAGACACGGUCCAGACUCCUACGGGAGGCAGCAGUGGGGAAUAUUGGACAAUGGGCGCAAGCCUGAUCCAGCCAUACCGCGUGGGUGAAGAAGGCCUUCGGGUUGUAAAGCCCUUUUGUUGGGAAAGAAAUCCAGCUGGUUAAUACCCGGUUGGGGUGACGGUACCCAAAGAAUAAGCACCGGCUAACUUCGUGCCAGCCGCCGCCGUAA